rnacentral:piRNA from 1 species
UCGCAUUUCAGCAGGUGGAGAGA